GAUGAACGCUAGCUACAGGCUUAACACAUGCAAGUCGAGGGGCAGCAUGAUUGAAGCUUGCUUCAAUCGAUGGCGACCGGCGCACGGGUGAGUAACACGUAUCCAACCUGCCGAUAACUCGGGGAUAGCCUUUCGAAAGAAAGAUUAAUACCCGAUAGUAUAGUAUUUCCGCAUGGUUUCACUAUUAAAGAACUUCGGUUAUCGAUGGGGAUGCGUUCCAUUAGAUAGUUGGCGGGGUAACGGCCCACCAAGUCAACGAUGGAUAGGGGUUCUGAGAGGAAGGUCCCCCACAUUGGAACUGAGACACGGUCCAAACUCCUACGGGAGGCAGCAGUGAGGAAUAUUGGUCAAUGGACGAGAGUCUGAACCAGCCAAGUAGCGUGAAGGAGGACUGCCCUAUGGGUUGUAAACUUCUUUUAUACGGGAAUAAAGUGGAGUAUGCAUACUCCUUUGUAUGCACCGUAUGAAUAAGGAUCGGCUAACUCCGUG
rnacentral:rRNA from 1 species